rnacentral:rRNA from 1 species
GAUGAACGCUGGCGGCGUGCCUAAUACAUGCAAGUCGAGCGAAUGGAUUAAGAGCUUGCUCUUAUGAAGUUAGCGGCGGACGGGUGAGUAACACGUGGGUAACCUGCCCAUAAGACUGGGAUAACUCCGGGAAACCGGGGCUAAUACCGGAUAACAUUUUGAACCGCAUGGUUCGAAAUUGAAAGGCGGCUUCGGCUGUCACUUAUGGAUGGACCCGCGUCGCAUUAGCUAGUCGGUGAGGUAACGGCUCACCAAGGCGACGAUGCGUAGCCGACCUGAGAGGGUGAUCGGCCACACUGGGACUGAGACACGGCCCAGACUCCUACGGGAGGCAGCAGUAGGGAAUCUUCCGCAAUGGACGAAAGUCUGACGGAGCAACGCCGCGUGAGUGAUGAAGGCUUUCGGGUCGUAAAACUCUGUUGUUAGGGAAGAACAAGUGCUAGUUGAGUAAGCUGGCACCUUGACGGUACCUAACCAGAAAGCCACGGCUAACUACGUGCCAGCCGCCGCGGUAA